AUUGAACGCUGGCGGCAGGCUUAACACAUGCAAGUCGAGCGAGCGGCGGACGGGUGCGUAAUGUCUGGGAAACUGCAUGAUGGAGGGGGAUAACUACUGGAAACGGUAGCUAAUACCGCAUACCAUCAGAUGUGCCCAGAUGGGAUUAGCUAGUAGGUGGGGUAAUGGCGCACCUAGGCGACGAUCACUAGCUGGUCUGAGAGGAUGACCAGCCAAACUGGAACUGAGACACGGUACAGAAUCCUACGGGAGGCAGCAGUGGGGAAUAUUGCACAAUGGGCGCAAGCCUGAUGCAGCCAUGCCGCGUGUGUGAAGAAGGCCUUAGGGUUGUAAAGUACUUUCAGCGGGGAGGCGUUACCCGAAGAAGAAGCACCGGCUAACUCCGUGCCAGCAGCCGCGGUAAUAC
rnacentral:rRNA from 1 species